rnacentral:rRNA from 1 species
UACGUAGGUGGCAAGCGUUAUCCGGAAUUAUUGGGCGUAAAGCGCGCGCAGGUGGUUUCUUAAGUCAGAUGUGAAAGCCCCGGGCUCAACCUGGGAACUGCAUUUGAAACUGGCGGGCUUGAGUGUGGCAGAGGGGGGUGGAAUUCCGCGUGUAGCAGUGAAAUGCGUAGAGAUGCGGAGGAACACCGAUGGCGAAGGCAGCCCCCUGGGCCAACACUGACGCUCAGGCACGAAAGCGUGGGGAGCAAACAGG